rnacentral:lncRNA from 1 species
GGCAGGCGGGUUGUCGGCCGCCAUUGUCGCCGUCGCGCGGCGGGGGAAGGAGUAUCAUGUCGUAGCUGCCGUCGAGGGACAUGAACUCAAGACUCCCGAAACGGAGCACCGUCCCGGGCUGGAAAGGUUGCUAGAGACUACCCAUCUGGAGCUUGACGGGAAGUUGUUCGUCAACACGCAGCAGGCCCCUACCUGGCGCGCCAACUGUCGACGUUUCGACCCCGGGGGGUCCCUGGACCGACGAGUAAAUUGUCGCCGCGUGCCCCAGCCCAGAUGGGUCAGCGCGAAAAGGAGCGCGAAGGGGGGAGAAAGCCGGAGGGAGACAGACGUAAAAGGGGAAACCCACGGCCUUCGUGUUUGUCCCGCGCCCAGGUCGGGUGCGCUUGCAGUAGGGGGUUACAAGUGUCCAGGCGGGAGGGAGCGAGAGGCUUACGCGAGCGCCGUCCCGUCCUUCCCCGCGCGGCCCACCUUCUGUAAGAGGGCCCUGGACCUUCCUUUUAUAGGCAUAAGGAGGGGGUCCAGGUGUACAAUUGGGAGAUGUAGCAGUGUGCUAACGUGUCUAGCAGAGAGGAGCUAGUGCCCUAAGUACAUGCCGUCGUGGCAGCCGGAGAGGUUUUGGCACCCUGUUCGUGUGAUGUCGUGGCCGUCGGAGGAGCGCUGGAGCCUGGCAGAAGGAUAGCUGUCGGGGCUGUCGAGUCCUUGCUGACGUCUCCUUGCUUCCGUAAGAGGGAUGAGAGCCGCCAUCGUCAUGGAGCAUGCGGGGCACCAUCAUUACUUGUUUUACCGGGGCGAGCUAGAUGGGACGCCGGUCUUGUUCCCCGUAGCCUGAGCUAGCUAGGGGUAGGGUAAUUGAUAGUCGCCUAGAGGGGGGUGAAUAGGGCGAAACUGAAAUUCUCAAAAAUAAUCACAACUACAAGCCGGGUUAGCGUUAGAGAUAUAAUCAAGUCCGCGAGAGGGUGCAAAACAAAUCGCAAGUGAGUAAAGCGGUGAGACACAAGGAUUUGUUUUACCGAGGUUCGGUUCUCACAAACGUACUCCUCGUUGAGGUGGUCACAAAGACCGGGUCUCUUUCAACCCUUUCCCUCUCUCAAACGGUCCCUCGGACCGAGUGAGCUUUCUCUUCUCAAUCACUUGGAACACAAAGUUCCUACAAGGACCACCACAAGAUUGGUGUCUCUUGCCUCAAUUACAAGUGAGUUUGAUCGCAAGAAAGAAUCAAGAAAGAAGAAAACAAUCCAAGCGCAAGAGCUCGAAAGAACACAAGCAAAUCUCUCUCACUAGUCACUAAAGCUUUGUGUGGAAUUUGGGAGAGGAUUUGAUCUCUUGAGUGUGUCAAGAAUUGAAUGCCUAGCUCUUGUAAGUGGUUGGAAGUAUGAAAACUUGGAUGCAAUGAAUGGUGGGUGGCUGGGGGUAUUUAUAGCCCCAACCACCAAACUAGCCGUUUGGUGGGGCUGACUGUCGUAUGGUGCACCGGACAGUCCGGUGCACACCGGACAUGUCCGGUGCGCCAGCCACGUCACCAAAGCCGUUGGGUUCCGACCAUUGGAGCUUUGUCUUCUGGGCCCGCCUGGAUGUCCGGUGGCGCACCGGACAUGUACUAUAGAGUGUCCGGUGCGCCAGUAUGGGCGUGCCUGACUUCUGCGCGCGCUGGCGCGCAUUCAAUGCGCUGCAGGUAGCCGUUGGCGCCGAAGUAUUCGUUGCUUCGAUGUCACACCGGACAGUCCGGUGUACACCGGACAUGUCCGGUGAAUUAUAGCGGACUAGCCGUUGCGAAUUCCCGAAGCUGGCGAGUUCCUGAGGCGCCGUUCCUUGGAGCACCGGACACUGUCCGGUGUACACCGGACAGUCCGGUGAAUUAUAGCGGAGCGCCUCUGGAUUUUCCCGAAGGUGACGAGUUUGACUUGGAGUCCUCUGGUGCACCGGACACUGUCCGGUGAUGCACCGGACAGUCCGGUGCGCCAGACCAGAGGUGCCUUCGGUUAUCCCUUUGCUCUUUUGUUGAACCCAAUACUUGGUCUUUUUAUUGGCUAAGUGUGAACCUUUGGCACCUGUAUAACUUAUACACUAGAGCAAACUAGUUAGUCCAAUUAUUUGUGUUGGGCAAUUCAACCACCAAAAUCAAUUAGGAAAUAGGUGUAAGCCUAAUUCCCUUUCAAUCUCCCCCUUUUUGGUGAUUGAUGCCAACACAAACCAAAGCAAAUAUGGAAGUACAUAAUUGAACUAGCUUGCAUAAUGUAAGUGCAAAGGUUGCUUGGAAUUGAGCCAAUAUAACUACUUAUAGGAUAGUAUGGAUUGUUUUCUUUGUUUUUAACAUUUUGGACCACGCUUGCACCACAUAUUUUGUUUUUGCAAAUUCUUUUGUAAAUUCUUUUCAAAGUUCUUUUGCAAAUAGUCAAAGGUAAAUGAAUAAGAUUUUGCAAAGCAUCUUCAAGAUUUGAAAUUUUCUCCCCCUGUUUCAAAUGCUUUUCCUUUGAUUAAACAAAACUCCCACUUAAUGAAAUCCUCCUCUUAGUGUUCAAGAGGGUUUUGAUAUUAAUUUUGAAGAGGGUAUACCAAUUUGAAAUUAUAUCACAAGUGAGAUACCAAUUUGAAAAUACUCUUUGAAAAACUUAAAAUUUUAGAAUUUGGUGGUGGUGCGGUCCUUUUGCUUUGGGCUCAUACUUUCUCCCCCUUUGGCAUGAAUCGCCAAAAACGGAAUAAUUAGAGCCCUUGAAAUUACUCUCUCCCCCUUUGGUCAUAAGUAAAUGAGUGAAGAUUAUACCAAAGACGGAGUCCUUUUGCUUUGGAUUCUCCCCAAAAGGCGGAGAGAUGCGUGGAGCGACGGCGAAGGAUGAGUUGCGGAGUGGAAGCCUUUUGUCUUCGCCGAAGACUCCAGUUCCCUUUCAAUACACCUAUGACUUGGUUUGAAAUUCACUUGAAAACACAUUAGUCAUAGCACAUGAAAGAGACAUGAUCAAAAAUAUAUAAAUUAGCUAUGUGUGCAAAUCAACAAAAGAAGUUCCUAGAAUCAAGAAUAUUUAGCUCAUGCCUAAGUUUGUUAAAAGUUUGUUCAUCAAGUGGCUUGGUAAAGAUAUCGGCUAAUUGAUCUUUAGUAUUAAUGUAAGAAAUCUCGAUAUCUCCCUUUUGUUGGUGAUCCCUUAAAAAGUGAUACCGAAUGGCUAUGUGCUUAGUGCGACUAUGCUCAACGGGAUUAUCCGCCAUGCGGAUUGCACUCUCAUUAUCACAUAGAAGAGGAACUUUGGUUAAUUUGUAACCGUAGUCCCUAAGGGUUUGCCUCAUCCAAAGUAGUUGCGCGCAACAAUGUCCUGCGGCAAUAUACUCUGCUUCGGCGGUAGAAAGAGCUACGGAAUUUUGCUUCUUUGAAGCCCAAGACACCAAGGAUCUUCCCAAGAACUGGCAAGUCCCCGAUGUGCUCUUUCUAUUGAUUUUACACCCCGCCCAAUCGGCAUCCGAAUAACCAAUCAAAUCAAAAGUGGAUCCCCUAGGAUACCAAAGCCCAAACUUAGGAGUAUAAACUAAAUAUCUCAAGAUUCGUUUUACGGCCGUAAGGUGAGCUUCCUUAGGGUUGGCUUGGAAUCUUGCACACAUGCAUACGGAAAGCAUAAUAUCCGGUCGUGAUGCACAUAAAUAAAGUAAAGAAACUAUCAUCGACCGGUAUACCUUUUGAUCGAUGGAUUUACCUCCUUCGUCGAGGUCGAGAUGCCCAUUGGUUCCCAUGGGUGUCUUGAUGGGUUUGGCAUCCUUCAUUCCAAACUUGCUUAGAAUAUCUUGAGUAUACUUCGUUUGGCUUAGGAAGGUGCCCUCUUGGAGUUGCUUCACUUGAAAUCCUAAGAAAUAUUUCAACUCCCCCAUCAUAGACAUCUCGAAUUUUUGUGUCAUGAUCCUACUAAAUUCUUCACAUGUAGACUCGUUAGUAGACCCAAAUAUAAUAUCAUCAACAUAAAUUUGGCAUACAAACAAGUCAUUUUCAAGAGUUUUAGUGAAGAGUGUAGGAUCGACUUUUCCAACUUUGAAGCCAUUAGUGAUAAGAAAAUCCCUAAGGCAUUCAUACCAUGCUCUUGGGGCUUGCUUGAGCCCAUAAAGCGCCUUAGAGAGCUUAUACACAUGGUUAGGAUACUCACUAUCUUCAAAGCCGGGAGGUUGCUCAACAUAGACCUCUUCCUUGAUUGGUCCAUUGAGGAAGGCACUUUUCACGUCCAUUUGAUAAAGCUUAAAGCCAUGGUAAGUAGCAUAGGCCAAUAAUAUGCGAAUAGACUCAAGCCUAGCUACGGGUGCAUAGGUUUCACCGAAAUCCAAACCUGCGACUUGGGAGUAUCCUUUGGCCACAAGUCGAGCUUUGUUCCUUGUCACCACACCAUGCUCGUCUUGCUUGUUGCGGAAGACCCAUUUGGUUCCUACAACAUUUUGAUUAGGCCGUGGAACUAAAUGCCAUACCUUAUUCCUAGUGAAGUUGUUGAGCUCCUCUUGCAUCGCCACCACCCAAUCCGAAUCUUGAAGUGCUUCCUCUACCCUGUGUGGCUCAAUAGAGGAAACAAAAGAGUAAUGCUCACAAAAAUGUGCAACACGAGAUCUAGUGGUUACCCCCUUAUGAAUGUCGCCGAGGAUGGUGUCGACGGGGUGAUCUCAUUGGAUUGCUUGGUGGACUCUUGGGUGUGGCGGCCUUUGUUCUUCAUCCUCCUUGUCUUGAUCAUUUGCAUCUCCCCCUUGAUCAUUGCCGUCAUCUUGAGGUGGCUCAUUUGCUUGAUCUUCUACUUCAUCAACUUGAGCUUCAUCCUCAUUUUGAGUCGGUGGAGAUGCUUGCAUGGAGGAGGAUGGUUGAUCUUGUGCAUUUGGAGGCUCUUCGGAUUCCUUAGGACACACAUCCCCAAUGGACAUGUUCCUUAGCGCGACGCACGAAGCCUCUUCAAUACCUAUCUCAUCAAGAUCAACUUGCUCUACUUGAGAGCCGUUAGUCUCAUCAAACACAACGUCACAAGAAACUUCAACUUGUCCGGAGGACUUGUUAAAGACUCUAUAUGCCCUUGUGUUUGAAUCAUAUCCUAGUAAAAAGCCUUCUACAGUCUUAGGAGCAAAUUUAGAUUUCCUACCUCUUUUAACAAGAAUAAAGCAUUUGCUACCAAAGACUCUAAAAUAUGAAAUGUUGGGCUUUUUACCAGUUAGGAGUUCAUAAGAUGUCUUCUUGAGGAUUCGGUGUAGAUACAACCGGUUGAUGGCGUAGCAAGCGGUGUUGACCGCCUCGGCCCAAAACCGAUCCGAAGUCUUGUACUCAUCAAGCAUGGUUCUUGCCAUGUCCAAUAGAGUUCUAUUCUUCCUCUCCACUACACCAUUUUGUUGUGGCGUGUAGGGAGAGGAGAACUCAUGCUUGAUGCCCUCCUCCUCAAGGAAGCCUUCAAUUUGAGAGUUCUUGAACUCCGUCCCGUUGUCGCUUCUAAUUUUCUUGAUCCUUAAGCCGAACUCAUUUUGAGCCCGUCUCAAGAAUCCUUUUAAGGUCUCUUGGGUUUGAGAUUUUUCCUGCAAAAAGAAUACCCAAGUGAAGCGAGAAUAAUCAUCCACUAUUACAAGACAAUACUUACUCCCGCCGAUGCUCAUGUAAGCAAUCGGGCCGAAUAGAUCCAUGUGGAGUAGUUCAAGCGGCCUGUCGGUCGUCAUGAUGUUCUUGUGUGGAUGAUGGGCACCAACUUGCUUUCCUGCUUGGCAUGCGCUACAAACCCUGUCUUUCUCAAAAUGAACAUUGGUUAGUCCUAAAAUGUGCUCUCCCUUUAGAAGCUUAUGAAGAUUCUUCAUCCCAACAUGGGCUAGUCGGCGGUGCCAGAGCCAACCCAUGUUAGUCUUAGCAAUUAAGCAAGUGUUGAGUUCAGCUCUAUCAAAAUCUACCAAGUAUAGCUGACCCUCCAACACUCCCUUAAAUGCUAUUGAAUCAUCACUUCUUCUAAAGACAGUAACACCUAUAUCAGUGAAAAGACAGUUGUAACCCAUUUUGCAUAAUUGAGAUACAGAAAGCAAAUUGUAAUCUAAUGAAUCUACAAGAAAAACAUUGGAAAUAGAAUGGUCAGGAGAUAUAGCAAUUUUACCCAAUCCUUUGACCAAACCUUGGUUUCCAUCCCCGAAUGUGAUCGCUCGUUGGGGAUCUUGGUUUUUCUCGUAGGAGGAGAACAUUUUCUUCUCCCCAGUCAUGUGGUUUGUGCACCCGCUAUCGAUGAUCCAACUUGAGCCCCCGGAUACAUAAACCUACAAAACAAGUUUGGGUACCCAAACAGUUUUGGGUCCUUUGGCAUUAGAAACAAGAACUUUGGGUACCCAAACACAAGUCUUGGAGCCCUUGUGUUUGCCCCCAACAAACUUGGCAACUACCUUGCCGGAUUUGUUAGUCAAAACAUAUGAUGCAUCAAAAGUUUUGAAUGAAAUGUUACGAUCAUUUGAUGCACUAGGAGUUUUCCUUUUAGGAAACUUAGCACGGGUUGGUUGCCUAGAAAUAGGUGUAAGCCUAAUUCCCUUUCAGUAAUGAUGGCCCCUCCUGUGACGUGGUCGGUCCGAGCCCUGGGUUGGGCGAGGCGGAGGCUCCUCCGAGGUCGAGGUCGAGUCUGUCUUCCGAGGUCGAGGUCGAGUCCGAGCCCUUGGGUCGGGCGAGACGGAGACCGUCGGCUGAGGCCGAGGUCGAGUCCAAGCCCUGGGUCGGGCGAGGCGGAGUUCGUCGUCUUCCGGGGCCGAGGCCGAGUCCGAGCCCUGGGUCGGGCGAGGCGGAGUUCGUCGUCUUCCGGGGCCGAGCCCGAGUCCGAGCCCUGGGUCGGGCGAGGCGGAGUUCGUCGUCUUCCGGGACCGAGCCCGAGUCCGAGCCCUGGGUCGGGCGAGGCGGAGUUCGUCGUCUUCCGGGGCCGAGCCCGAGUCCGAGCCCUGGGUCGGGCGAGGCGGAGUUCGUCGUCUUCCGGGACCGAGCCCGAGUCCGAGCCCUGGGUCGGGCGAGGCGGAGUUUCCUAUGGCGCCCGAGGCCGGACUUGGCUGCUGUCAGCCUCACUCUGUCGAGUGGCACAGCAGUCGGAGUGGCGCAGGCGGCGCUGUCCUCUUGUCAGGCCGGUCAGUAGAGCGGCGAAGUGACUGCGGUCACUUUGGCUCUGUCGACUGAAGGGCGCGCGUCAGGAUAAGGUGUCAGGCCACCUUUGCAUUAAAUGCUCCUGCGAUACGGUCGGUCGUCGUGGCGAUUUGGCCAAGGUUGCUUCUUGGCGAAGACUGGGCCUCGGGCGAGCCGAAGGUGUGUCCGUUGCUUGAGGGGGCCCUCGGGCGAGACGUGAAUCCUCCGGGGUCGGUUGCCCUUGCCCGAGGCUGGGCUCGGGCGAGGCGAGAUCGUGUCCCUUAAGUGGACUGAGCCUUGACUUAAUCGCACUCAUCAGGCCUUUGCAGCUUUGUGCUGAUUGGGUUUACCAGCUGAGAUUUAGGAGUCUUGGAGGUACCCCUAAUUAUGGUCCCGACAAAUAUAAUAUAAAAUUUUAAAAUUGGGUAAUUUAAUAAAUUAAUUUGAGCCAUGUCCAUUUAAAUCCAACAUCAGCAUUGUUUAUGCUAUAAUGCUCUACUUGAUAGGCAAACUCUUCUGAUGUAAAAUUGUUAGUUGGUCAAGGAAAAAGUAUUUAUGUAAGCAUACAUGUACUGCAUGGCUAAAUGUGCUCUAGAGUAAAAUACAGUAACGCUCCUCAAACUUGACACGUUGUAUCAUUUAGGUCUCCGAACUCACAAAACUAGAAAAACAAAUGCUAAAACUUGGCGGUCCAUCCAAAAACGGGUUUGCUCAAACUAGAUGUCGACGUGACUUAGAGUCACGUCGGUCCUCGAACAUGAUAUACUAUGUCACUUAGAUGAUAUGUUAUGUUACUUGGGUCUUCAGACUUUUAUUAAUAUGUUAUAACGUGAUAUGUCAUGUCCGCAUCCGAAUUAAUUAAAUAUAAUUUUGGGCGGUUUUACACGGAACGACCAAAUUAUAUGACUCAUUUUUUCUGAUUUUCUAAUUUUAUAGACUCAAAUAAUAAGUUCGCUAGCAGCGGAAUUGUUUUCAUGGUGCAGCCAAAGUAAUAUUCUUAGGCACACGGCAGCAUAUUCCCCUGUUUGCCGACGGGCUUCAAUGCUUGAUAAAUGAUAAAGCGUAGCUUCACGGCCGCCGCUUUUUUUUUUUAAGAGCUGCCAGUCUUCCACGGCCCGUGCUCCCAACGCCAGGGCCAGCCGUCACGUCACGUCUCGCUCCCACUGUACUAUCCCGCACCUCCCUCCGACUCCGAGCGUGGGGCUUCACCAGACCAAGAACACGCCAAGCCCGACGCUCCCAGGACCACGCCGCCCAAGCCGUCGAGCAAAUCCGCGAUGCACAAGUGGUGGCGCAGCCCCGGGCCCGCCCUGCUCGCCGCCGCACUGGCGAUCGUGGUGGCCGCGCUGCGGCCGGCGACGGAGCACGCGGCCGCCAAGGGGCGACCGCCGCUGCGGUUCGGGCCAGGAGGAGCGUUCAAGGUGGCCCUGUUCGCGGACCUGCAUUACGGCGAGGACGCGUGGACGGACUGGGGGCCCGCGCAGGACGCCGCGUCCGACCGCGUCAUGGCCGCCGUCCUCGACGCCGAGAACCCAGGUGCGUGCAUGCGCACGCUCUGCUUCUGCCUCCCUUUCCCUUUUCCUCCGAAAGAACUGAAACGGAACGCAUCUUCGCUCAGACUUGGUGGUGUACCUCGGCGACCUGGUGACGGCCAACAACCUCCCGGUCCCGAACGCGAGCCUGUACUGGGACCGCGCCGUCUCCGCCGCCCGAGGCCGGGGCGUGCCGUGGGCGACGGUGUUCGGCAACCACGACGACAUGGCCUUCGAGUGGCCGCCCGAGUGGUUCUCCCCCGACGGCGUCCCGCCGCUGCGCUGGCCGCCGGGUCCAGGAUCAGGGUGCGGCUUCCGUGGGACUCCCCGGACGGACCUCAUGGCGGCGGAGACCGGCGCGAACCGGCUGCUGUCCUACUCGUCCAGCGGGCCCAGGGAGCUGUGGCCCGGCGUCUCCAACUACGUCCUGCAGGUGCUCUCGCGGGGACGGCGGGCCCGCGGCGACGGUCACGACCACGACCCGGCUCUGCUCAUGUACUUCCUCGACUCGGGCGGCGGGUCGUACACCGAGGUGGUGUCCAGCGCGCAGGUCAGGUGGUUCCACACCCAGUCUCAGUUCCUGAAUCCAGAUGGAAGGAUCCCCGAGCUCAUCUUCUGGCACAUACCGAGCACGGCGUACGCCAAGGUAGCUCCGAAGGCCAAGUCUGAGAUAAGGAAGCCCUGCGUCGGCUCCAUCAACGAGGAGGAAGUGGCGCCGCAGGCAGCUGAAUGGGGCAUGAUGGAUGCGCUCGCCAAGAGGUCGUCGGUGAAGGUGCGUCACUGUCCAGGUGCUUGGCUUGGAUCAGAAUAUUGUUGGCGGUGACACUGUCUUCUCUCGAUCGAUCGAUCGAUGACAGGCGGUGUUUGUUGGGCACAACCACGGGCUGGACUGGUGCUGCCCCUACGACGGCGAGGAGCGGGAGCAGGAGCUGUGGCUGUGCUUCGCACGGCACACGGGGUACGGGGGAUACGGUGACUGGCCCAGAGGAGCGAGGAUCCUUGAGGUCACGGAGGAGCCAUUCUCGGCCGUGUCAUGGAUACGGAUGGAGAACGGGACCAGGCACAGCGACGUUACACUAACCUCCUGAAUCCAUCUGCCUGCUUGAUUCUCUUGUACAAUGUACAGUAUAGAGGAUAUUUCUUUAUAUAUAUAAACAACGUAUAUAAAUAUAACAACACCAAAAAUAAGAGCACCGGAGGACAUAGUAUAUGGCCCCCGGUAGUUUCUUAAAGGGCUAGUUUGAAAGCCACGAAAUCGAAGAAAAUUUGGAGCGGCUAAAAUUCUCUCUUUAUUCAAAAUUAAAAUUAAAUAAAGAAAGAAUUUUAGCCCCUUCAAUUCUCUAUGGAUUUUAGACUCUCAAACUAGACCUAAAAUAUUUACUUGUUUUUGUAGAAAUUUUGGCUCGUCUUCACAAUGCUAUUUCGCCGCCAUUUCUCUCCGCCAAACAGGUCAAAAAAAGUGUUGCUACAUGUACAACUUUAUUGAUAGACUUACAAACGAUUAGGGUCAUCUAAUGGCUCAUAAUAUAUUAGUUCAGAAUAAGAGUCAAUGACAGCCAUAUAAUUUUAAACUAAAAUUAUUUAAGAACCAUAAUUUAAUGUAAAAAAUAUAUUUGAAUCAUGAUCCAUUAUCGCUCUAGUUAUAGCUGAAAUAUUUUUCCAAAACAAAAGUGCAUCCGGCGAGGAGCUCCUUAAUUCGUGCUCGCAGUGGGUGCUGCUGCCUAGAGUUCAAAGUUGGGGCAUCAUGCUUGUAGCUUGAGCGACCCUUUUGUGGUGUCAAGGAGAAGUUCGAUGGUGAUUUUAUAUUGAAUGAUUGGUGUAAUAGUGCAAAGAGUAGGUCACACUACCUGUUAGUGCUCUUGUACCACGAUGCUCAUUGGUUGCACUAUAAAAUCACAGUCGAAGGAACAAGUGUGACAUUUCCUAAGAUUGUGUUGGAAAAUGGAUUAUGGGUAUAAAAGGAAUGAUAUAGAGAGUGUUCGGUUUAUAGAGACUAAUUUUAGUCCAGCUAUUUUAUUCUAUUUUAGUUUCUAAAUUAGUAAUAUUUUCGGAAAGUUUCCGUGUUGGAUAAUUUAGUAACUAAAAUAAAAUAGAAUAAAAUAGAGGGACUAAAAAUAUAUAUUUUUAUACUACUCUAUUAAGAACCUAAUGUGGACGUCUAGUGCUACCACGUCUUCACCCUCCGCGGCCUGCCCCACGCGCCCCGCCUCGGCGCUGUGCCCUGUGUACCCCACACCCAGCGUCCGUGCAACCAGCUACUACGCCUGCCCAGCAUCUGACCCCACCCGUGUGGCUACUUGUCUAUCACAUUGUGCAAAAAAUAAUGCAGAACGAGCACUUAAACUCAUAACCCCUGCUCCAGAAAUUUAUCUUAGUAUUUAGAAUUAAAGAAUAAUUAUAUUUAAAUAAAUAUUUUAAUAGUAGCAACCGUAGUAAAGCACGAUCAACUGGCUAUUAUCUAAAAACCAAACAUCCUGUAAUUUGAGAGAGAGAGAGAGAAUGGGCCGCAUUACAUUGCAUUGCAGCGGAUGGACCUGGCCGCCCUCACGAGGCUGACUCGCACGUGCUCCUCACACCUCUUGUCUUGGGCCGAAACAAAGGUAGGCGAGGACGCACGCAGCGCAGUCAACCAGAUGAUCUCCCAUUCUCCAUCUUCCAACAUCUGAAGAGGGGUUCCAAAUUCUGAAGCCGAUGGGGACGCAGAGCGAAGGCUGCGACGGAAGCUGGCAUGCCCCGUCCCCACGCCGCCACGCGCGAUCGCGACCCCGAAGCAGGCUCACGAAUCGCAGGCCGGGGAGCGCGAGCCGACGCCCGCUGAUCAUCAGGCUCAAGAAUAGCAAGACAUCCCUCCCCUAACCAAACGGGGCAGGGGUCCGGUCAGCUCGGCCAGGAAUUCCACGAGCCCGUCCAACGCGCGCCUUUGUAUUCUACGUGCUAUUCAUGCAGCGUCCGGCGCCACAGGCCGCGAUCGGCGGAGGACCUUCUCGCCGCGCAUGCAUCUAUCUCAGCAGCGCCCGGCCGCCGCCGGGCCGCGUGUUUGUGUUUGUGUGUUAGGCCAGCCGGGAUCGCGACCGCCGUUGCCAUCCUCGCGCAUACGGCCAUGGCGUACUAGCUGUAUCCCAAUCCCCAACUACGUACGUGCAGUAUAGAAACUAGAGAAAAAUGGCUGUGUACGUAGACGUAGUGGUGGAAACUUGGGGGAGAAAAAACAAGAACCGAUCCAUCGUCAACGACCGGCCGGGGACUUGCUGGAUGGCUAUGAUCGUGUGGCCUGCCCAACUGGAUAGUGGCCGCCUUGGAACGGCCUGCACUGCCUACAGCUCUACCUGGCUAUAAAUAUGGCCGCGAUGCCUCGGUGAAUUGCAUGCAGAGUGCAGUAGAACGGCAUCAGUUACACUAGUAGUGCUCAUCUCGCUGGUACUGCUGAGCUGACCACCGCCGAUCCUUCCAAGAUGGCGAGGCAGGGUGUCGUCGCUUCCAUGCAUGCGCUGGCAUUGCUUCUCGGAGCAUUCGCAGCCAUUCCUACAGGUAGACUAUACCUAUACGUGCAUGCGCAUCCACCCAUAAUCCGUGCAUGCAUGCAUGAUUAUUGACACUAAUGUCCUUAUUACUAAACAGGAGUCCAAUCCAUCGGCGUGUGCUACGGCGUGAACGGCGACAACCUGCCCCCGGCGAGCGACGUGGUGCAGCUGUACCAGUCCAACGGCAUCAACCUGAUGCGCAUCUACUUCCCGGACGCCAACGCGCUGAACGCGCUGAGCGGCACCAGCAUCGGGCUCAUCAUGGACGUGCCCAACACGGACCUCGCCUCGCUGGCCUCCGACCCGAGCGCGGCGGCCGCCUGGGUGCAGAGCAACGUGCAGGCGUUCCCGUCGGUCAGCUUCCGCUACAUCGCCGUGGGCAACGAGGCCUCCGGCGGGGACACCGGCAGCAUCCUUCCCGCCAUGAAGAACCUCAACGCGGCGCUGGCCAACGCCGGCCUGGGCGGCAGCAUCAAGGUGUCCACGGCGGUGCAGAGCGACGUCACCCAGGGCUUCCCGCCGUCGCAGGGCACCUUCUCGCAGGGCUACAUGGCGCCCAUCGCGCAGUACCUGCAGAGCACCGGCGCCCCGCUGCUGUGCAACGUCUACCCCUACUUCUCCUACAUCGGCAACCCGGCCCAGAUCGACCUCAGCUACGCGCUCUUCACCUCGCCGGGCACCGUCGUGCAGGACGGCAGCAACGCGUACCAGAACCUCUUCGACGCGCUCGUCGACACCUUCGUCUCCGCGCUCCAGAACGCCGGCGCCGGCAACGUCCCAGUCGUCGUGUCCGAGAGCGGCUGGCCGUCCGCCGGGGGCGACGCCGCCACCGCGGCCAACGCGCAGACCUACAACCAGAACCUCAUCAACCACGUCGGCCAGGGCACGCCCAAGCGCCCUGGCCCCAUCGAGACCUACAUCUUCGCCAUGUUCAACGAGGACCAGAAGACGGGAGCCGAGUCGGAGAGGCACUUCGGCCUCUUCAACCCGGACAAAUCGCCGGCGUACCCCAUCAAUUUCUCCUAAUUCCUAAACAAGACGCCGAGGUCCAUUCCAAGACAUUUAUAAGGCAAUACACACACAUAGAUAUAUACAUACACAUACAUACGGGAGAAAGUAGAAUAAAUAAACUGCCUGCAGUAGAAUGCAAAGUGUAUUCAUGUAAGGCAACUGCUUCGAUUAUUUCCUAAAGAUCAAUAACAAGAAGUACAAUUAUUUCUAUAUAUGCUUUCAAUUCCUCCUAAUUUUCUCCUUUGCGAGCAUGCAUAUUUCCAAGAGAGCCAAGACAAUCGCCAAACUAAGGACGUGUUACUCGUUCUAUUCCACAAAUUUAGGUCAUGUUUAGUUUCAAUUAGUCCUAGGACUAAACUUUAGUCCCUACAUGUUUGGUUUUAAGGACUAAAUAGAUCCUAAAGUCAUUAAAUACAUUGUCCAAAGACUAAAAUGCCCUUAGAAUAUACUCAUAAUAUUAGUUAUCUAUAAAAAAGGUAAGGGCAACAUGAUAAUUAUGAGCUUUUAGUCUCUUUUAGCACCUAUGUGAAGGACUAAAGACUAAAUCAUUUUAGUCUAUAUUUUAGUCCUAGUGUUUGGCAAAAAAGGGACUAAAUGAGACUAAAAACUAGAGACUAAUCUUUAAUCCCUCUAACAAACACCCCCUUAUUGAAAUUGACUCAUCCCUAGUAUUAUUACUAAUUAUUAGAUUAUAAAAAAUAAAAUAGUGAUAGAUGAACUUAUUAUAUUCCACAAACUAAACAAAAAAAAAGCGAGAACUCAUUCCUCAAACCAUACACGCUAUAAUUAAACUCUCUCUCUGUGUCUCUGAGCAUGAACACGGAGAAGAGAGCGUCUAAUUACACUCGUCUUCUCGGCCUGUUCCUGGUGCGUGGACCGACAACGGUGGCGGGUUCCUUCUCCUCCACCGGUACCGGCGGCAGCUCUUCCUCUGCGUCCUCAUCCGCUUCGUUAAUGUCGUCGUCUUCCUCACCGGCGCCGUCGUCAUCGGACGCCUCGUUCUCUUCCAGUAUCGCCCGGUUUAUCUCCAUCUGCGCAUGCACGGGCAGCCGCCGUUUGGCUAAGCGUUGUUAACAGUAAAUUGUACGUCGCUUCAGUCGAGUUUGUGGAUAACCAGAUGUGCAUUUUUUUUAAUUCAACCCCAGGUACACAACUACAAGCAGAGUAGCGCGCGCAAGCAGCUGCUAGCAGAAGCGCACGUGUUGCGGGUACUGUCAUACUGUGUUGUAGUGGUACUCUUACCGUACCUCCCUUAGGAAUCGGUCGUCGAGGUCGUCGGCGACGCGAGCGGCGGUGACGAGCGUGCCGACGAAGAGGGAGAGCGGGAGCACGAAGGCGAGGAUGAGCGCGUUGGUGCUGGGCGGCCCGCCGGCGCGCACCACCAAGAGGCGGCCCCGGCCCCGACCCCGCCGCCGCGCGCCGCCUGGUGGCAGCGGCCUGGCGCAGCAGCUGCUGGCUCGGACGGCGGCAGGGCGGCCGCAGCACGGCGGCGUGGCGCCGAGGCGAGGUGGCAGGCAGAGCGCACUGAGGUGGCCGCCCCGCGCCAUGGCCUGCUCCUCGAAGCCUCCGGAAUCGCAGGCUCCCAGCGGUCGGGGCAGCCUUAUCCGGUGGCGGUGGUGCUGUUGGCAAGCACCAGGCACUGGGCAACUUGGCAAUGCGCGCGCGCGCGCUUCAGUGACCUGGACCUGGACCUGGACUGAUUGAGGCGGCGGAUUGGGCUGGACGGGAUGCCAUGAAGAGGCUUUCUAGGCCCGCGUAUGCCAGACACCGGUCCAAGUCCAACAUAGCGUGGGAGGAUUCAGCCCAGCUAAACAGCUUAUCCGGUGGGCUGCCGAAGCAAAAAAAUAAAAAUAAAAUUAUAUAAAAAAUAUGUGCCGCGGGGUUGCCAGCGGUUUCGUGUUUAUGAAAAUUAAAAAAGAUGUCACGUCCGGAGCUCGCGACCGCGAGACUGGGCGAUGACUUGGGUGGAUGUGCUUUUAGCGCGACCAUAUCUGUGAUCUGCUGGACGCGUGAAUGCUGCGGUACUUAUUUUCUGCGAUCUGUUGGAUGGCGUGGCGUGGCAGCGCAGCAACUAAAACGGGACGACCAGAGCCCUGUUAAGUAACCAUAGUUAAGGUUAUGUGGGCAAAUACCUGUUUUGCCCCUGAGGGGUCUCACAUCUCUAUAUAAGGAACAUGUACACCCCCUCAUAAUACAGAGAUCAGAAAGAGGCCAGAGGCCCAACCCUAUAUCCAGUGUCUCGUGUGUUUCCUCUGUCGUGCUUAUGGGAAGGGAGACGGGUUCUCUACAUCUUCUUGCGCCUCUACUUCUGACGGGAGGGAAGGGAGCGGAUCUGGUGAUCCGUGGUAACGUAGUUCUUAACACGUUAUCAGCACGCUCUACCUCGACGUUGCUGCGGGAUCAGAUCUGCAUCAACUCUUCGUCAAGCUGGCAGGUCUUUUGGCCUAGCCAAACUGUCCUACGCGACAGGCUUCGUUUCCGUUCGCUGAUGAAGAAAUGUGGUAUGAAAUCUCUGGUGGACGAUUUACUUUUGUUGACGGUAAACAAAGCAUCGUCGUGAAAAUACUACGGGCAAUGCGGCAAGAAGAAAACAACAUCCGACGGUAGUCUUGAUGGUCGCGCAUCGUGUGCACCGUCCAGCACGCGUUGUCUCACUCCGCACAGCAGGCCACCAGCCCGUGCGCCCUCGUGCUUGUGACUGCGGCCUCGGCCAACGGCUUCCAUAUCGCGCCUGAGUUUGUGCCUGUGAUGGAGGCACACCUCGCCAUGGCCACGCCCGUAUCGGAGGCUUGCCAGCAUGGUUGUGACGGAGUCCACGCGUCUGUGGAAGGCGGCGAUCUGGGCGCAUCUGUGGCCAGGCAAAAGUGCCUUGGUCCGUCCGAAUUUGUUUAUUGGACUGGAUCAUCGUCUAUCUGGGAUCUGGCGAUGCAGGUGGAUAAAAAUGAGACUGUUUCCACGGUCUAAUCUGCAUGUUUGUGCAAUGCGCGAUUUGUGGCCAUGCACGAAGCAAGCCAACGGAUGGGAGAUGGCGUGGACCAUUUCCUCCUCUGUACAUUGAAGCGUAGGCGAGAAUUAUUUCUUUUCCGUGCGCAUGGGCCCCACCAUCUUGCAUGUCCGCAUGCACGCAUGGACGACUGGACGUGAUGCCUUAUUUCCGAUCUGGUCAAAUAGGCUAGUUUAAGGUGCAUGUGUCCAACAGGUGAAUAAAACCCCCAUUUAUUAUACGCAAUUUUCCUUAUAUUUUAUAUGGAUAAUUUUUUUUCCUAAAUUUAUACAAGUUUAAAUUGUAUGCAUGCUUUAUGUAAUUGUCUCUACCUUAAUUAAUUAUUUCCUGUAGUAAAUAAUUACUAGAAAAAUGCAUGCUUACAUACAAGGAAGUUGCCUUUUACACCUGAUGUGUUAUGCUCAUGCAUUAAUUUUGGUGUUUAUUUUUCUGCUUUUAUUUAUCUGGUAGAUAUUAGCAGAAAAAUAUUAAAAUGCAUGUAAACUCUAUAUUGUGCAUAUUUAAAUCGCUCUAAAUAUUUAUAUUAUGUUGAGCUUUUGGGUACUCAAACAUGUCGAUCAGACUUUGUUGUUAAUCGGUUGAGUUAUGGCAUUGGCGAGCAUUGGUUGCGCCCUGGCAACACGACACGUUAUUUGUGUCGUACGAAUUUGGCUGCGUCAUGUGAUUGCUAUGUUGCACUCUCACUUAGUCGGACCACUCCCGUUGAGCCGGACCGCCAUCACCGAGUCGCGUAUUUUUUGCAUGCCCUGCAGGCACGGUUCGGCCGCCAUGAUCAGCGAGCCACAAUUACGCCUGUUGCGCACGUUGCGUGGACUUAUCCUGUACCCGACUAUCGAUCCACAAUUGCGCCUGUUGCGCUUGUUACGGAGGCUUAUUCGUUAUCAUAGCCUUGAUGGCUACACACACGUUGACGCCAGAUACGCUGGAGCUUGUACUCGCAUGGAAUGUGGUGGAUUAUUCGAGCCCCUAAAGUCACAGCAUAGCGCAACCCUUGUAAACAAUGUUGUUUAACUCUAUCUUUUAUUUGAUUGUUUUGUGUGGCAUCAUAUAUUUAUUUAUAUUGCCAAGUGGCCAUAACAACUAUAUCAAGCUCUAUAGUGCUUGAAUAAUCUGGGAAAAUUAAAUUGAAAUACAAUGAAACACAGAUAAGUUAAUUCUUUGCUCUCUCCUCAUGCAUAAAGUUUUACCCGAAGUAACCCGAAGAUAUAUAAUAUAAUGCAUGAAAGCCUUUUUGGCAUAGAAGACAUCACAAAUUGGGAUUCUAUUAGUAAGCAAAAGGCCUUACCAAAUAAUUUAAUACUAUAAAUCUCAGCCAUAUAUUGCUCAACCAGAUGUUAGCACAUUGCUCUCUUUGUCGCUAAAUGACAUGAAGCAAACUAUGAGAUAAAAGGACAUGUAAUCGCCAGCAACACGAAGUUGCGAGUAUACCGAGAGGUUAUUAUGAGAAAAUUUUCACUAUGUUGGUGUGAAAACCAUAGUGUGUUCCCGUCGAACCACUUUACUCGUUCUAUCUAGAACCUCUAUGCUUGUGUCGCAUACAUCUCUCGGAAUUGUAAAUACUUAUAGUCACUGAAUUGACUCGGGAUAGUCCUUUGCCAAGUUUGGUAUACACUGUAAACUAAAUGGUAAAGGUCGGUCCUGAAUGGACACAUACCUGGGGUUUAUGUAGCCGAACUACACUGAAUUCCACCCUUUGGCAUGCUUACCAUUAUCUACCUCCGAUCUACCAGAAGUGAGAAGAGUAGACAAAUAACUAUGAAAUCUCACAUCACCACAAAGCUUGUAGCUAAAUUAGACAUUAACAUAUUCUUAGUCCUCGGAGCCAGAAGAGACAUAUGUCUUGACCACUAGACUACUAGUGAUGAUAAUUUGUGAUAGAAAUAUGAAGAUCUUGUAGAGACCUGUUGUAUCCUCUCUACUCCUGAUGAUUUCUUUGUACGAGAGCAGUAGUAUCUGGUGUUGAAGAUGGAUCCUAGGCGGAUACCAGUAUUGUUUCGUUCUUGCCAAGCAGUUAUCAUCAUUUGCUUCAUCAAAAGCUAGUUCUAUGGUGAUUUUCCCAGAUAAAAUGAAUUCUUGGCCUUGUCUGUUCUAUUCCAAAGCUUCUCUUUUUGUCGAACAACGAAGAGAUCGAAAUAAUGCUUCAUAGAACAAAUUGGUAUAUAAUAUGAGGAGAAAUGUUUGUCCUGCUGGCAGCAUCACAAAUUAUUAACUAUUGUUAUAAAUUUUCUCUCAAAAUUAUAAUACCUAAAAAAUGUUGCAUAAAUUGAUACCCAAUUUCAGAUCGGUAUGAGUAAUUGGGUAAACAAUGGGCAAUAAUAAAACGAGCUGGACUAUACAUCUCUGCAUAUAAAAAUCUCUACUUGGCAGCAUUGGCCUGAUGUCGUGCACUUUACUACCAAUAUAAACACACAUUUUCCUAUGUGCCUCAAAGCACAAUGCAACCAGUGAAUGUCUUUGUGAGCGUUAGACCUUGAUGGUCAUUUUACUUGUUGAUCUGAAGUCAACUAAUGGCUCCAAAUGACGAAUGGUAUUCAUGAGCCCCUGAAGAAGCCUUAUGGAUAAAAUAGUGUUGUGCAUGUUAGUCUAAAUCUUAAUGAUUGACUGUGCAUUUGGUAAUAAUAACAAUAAGUUUGCAGAAUUGUAACCAUGAAGCAACUUGUUGUUGCGUGUCUCGCUGGAUGUUGAGACUAACCCUUCAUGUGAAGGACAAAUAUGUAGUAUUCAUGCCACUACAUUAAUCUAAGUCCAAAGCUCACUGCAUAAAACCCCUAUCUGUAAUGUGCGUAAGAUUUCCCAAAUAAAUCACCACAAUAGCAUACAUUGGCCAUAACUGGAUGAUUGUGGUUGGGGAUUUUAUAUGUAUGUUUUUAGAACAUCUCAGCAUUAGGGGGAGGAAUGCCCAUAUAGUGUAAUGCCUCAAUAUUCUAUUAAACGCACAAAAGUCAAACUGAAUAUGUCGUUCGGUGUGUACUCCUGUGUAUAUGGAGUUUGCCAGAAAUCGUUGAGGAGUAACCAUAUUGGUCUGAAUGCUUCUACCUGAUGUAGAUGUGGAUAUACUCGGGAUUAAUAUCAUAUCCACAUUUGAAUUAUUGGCAUUUGAUCUAUUCUCGGGGACGCCUGCGAAUAUGAUCCAUUGGCCUUAGUCAAAGCAUAUGUUUCUGAUUGCAGAUUCACGUGGUCUGUGAUAACUCUCCUCCGAUUAAUUCACCCUGAUGGUGAUUUGCCUCACGAAGAGGUUCAUCUUGAUGAUGAAAUUCCUAGCAAUGCGCGCAAUAUCAUUGUGCUGGGAAUACAGAACAAAGAAUCUUUCGUUUUGGGAAAUAACGGAGAUCAUUAUUAAAAGUGGGAGACAAAUAUGUCGACACCUAUCUUGCCCCUCUAGAUUGCAAAUGGAUCCAAAACAAAGUCCUAGGCAUGAGUGCUUUAAGCUCUCUUAUCGGGUCAUUAAUAAAUGCAAUCGAGGCUGAACCAAUAAUCGCAAAAUGAAAGUCGCGAGCUUGAAGUUCAGACAUUUAUGGGCACUAUUGAAAUAAUGUGUGGUGAAUGCGAUGGUUCAAGUGGUCUUGUGAGAGACCCAUCCCACGUAUGUGUUGAAUAAACACUGUUCCGCUAUGUAAUAUAUCUGGCAAAUGGCAUGAAUUAAAAUAUGCAGUUAAUAGGAUUCUGAAGAUCCGUCAUGAGAUCCUAGGAGGACUCAUAUCUUUGAAUUAUAAAUAUGCAACAUAUAAAUCUUAUACCGAAUAAUACAUUCCUGAUGAAUGAACACUCUCCUAUGUAGGGAGAAUAUCUCGUAGUUGAGACUAUCGUUCCUAGAUGGAACCUAUCCAGAAGAAACAAAGUCUAUGUUGAACACCAAAAUUUGAUAAUCUCUAUAAAGGGAUAAAGACCCAUACAGACCCGAAAAGGAAUAAGAUGAGGUACCAAAGGACUUGAAGUUCACUGAAUAAGCACAUGUGCAUUCCAUGAGUUUUACUCAUGGUAAUUUCCACUAGAUGUGGAAUUAUGGUAUCCUCUAAAUCCCUGAUGGCAGAAACCUAUAAGGUUUAGGUGUUACUGGCAAAAUAUCCCCAUUGUGCCAGAAUGACAGACUAUAAUGAUGUAUCUGAUCGAUGAAAAAUCCCUAAUGGAUUACGAUCUUAGAUGGACUUUUGUGACACCAUCAUAGAUGUUGCAAUGGAUGGACGCCUCGAGCGAUGUAUCAUAUUUAGAAUAUGUACUAUUGCAACUAUAUUAUCCCCUAAGUCCUAUUGAAGGACAUGUUAUUUGCUUUGCACAACUAUGUAUAAAUUGUGGUGUAAGAUAGAAAAUGAUAGCACACCAACCUCAUCCAUCCUCGUUAUUCCAGAUGAACAAUGAGACAUAUAUCUUGAAGAAUAUGUUUGAGUUAUGAGGGAUAACGACUUUGACAGAUGUCAUCGUCAGGGGGAGCAAAUGCUUAUAUUGAUCACAACCGUGAGACAAUAAAUGUCAUAUUCUAUGCCCUGAAGGCGUGAGCUUGAUGAUUAAUAUGUGAACCUUUAUGGAACUUUCUAUCAAAUAUAUAGAUCUUGUCGAUCGAACACCAUCAGUCAAAGUGGCUUAUUUAUAUUGAUACGUGCACUUACCUCGUAUAUCCUAGAAGUGAGUAGAGGUAAAGUUCCUGAAAUAGUCCUUGCAAGGAUAUGCAAUCUGUUUGCUAAAUCUUUAUGUGCAUAUACUUCCAGAAGAAGAUGUUUUGCCUUAUUGAUACUGUUUUGCAAGGAUCAGGGGGAGCACAUUUCUAAAGUUAGCCCUUGUAGAAGAUUCGAUAGAAUCUAGAUCCCAAAGGAUCGAAAUCUGUCCCGAUGACAGUUGUUGUACUCUUUUUCCCUCGGUGAGUUUUCUUGAAGUUUCUCACAUGAGGUUUUUAACGAGGCAACAAAGUGCAAAUGCAAUUUGUAUCACCAUGCACUCUUUCUCCACAUUUUUCCCACUGGGUUUUUCGGAGUUUUAACGAGGCAUGUGUUGGUCGCGGUAUUCGCCCAAGGGGGAGUGUUAAGUAACCCUAGUUAGGGUUAUGUGGGCAAAUACCUGUUUUGCCCCUGAGAGGUCUCACAUCUCUAUAUAAGGAACAUGUACACCCCCUCAUAAUACAGAGAUCAGAAAGAGGCCAGAGGCCCAACCCUAUAUCCAGUGUCUCGUGUGUUUCCUCUGUCGUGCUUAUGGGAAGGGAGACGGGUUCUCUACAUCUUCUUGCGCCUCUACUUCUGACGGGAGGGAAGGGAGCGGAUCUGGUGAUCCGUGGUAACGUAGUUCUUAACAAGCCCAACGCUGCCCUGCAAGGGCGCGCAUGCCAGCGCCGUCGGUCCAUCGCUCUGAGCCUCUGAUAUGAGAAUCCAGCCUGCAUGGCGUACCCUGUGUACUACAUCCAUGGAUUCUUCCAUCCAUGGAUGCUUACAAAAAUACAAGCGCCCGCAUAUGACCCCCAUCCCAUCCGUGCGACGGGACGGCGGCUAGCUGGCAGCUGCAUAUCAUAUCGCACGUCAGUGCAUCACCAGGCAGGAUUGGCUGGCCUGGCCUCCUUGGUCCUUGCGAGGCUGCAAGUGCAUCCAUCCGUCCGUCCAUAUGCAUAUGCAUCGCACAUUGAUCACGAGCCGUCAAACUGAAAGACAUGCAACGAGAGCGAUAGAGAUAUCGCUAUAUAUCGCAGCAUAUUAUAUAAUUGUGUACAUGUUACUGGAUGUACGUAUUCUAGCUUUCUUAAAUAAUUAAAACAUCUUAAAUUUCAUCGAAUCUCAACUACUUAUUCCCAUUCCUUUUCUGCAUUUCCCGUCUCCCUCCACGCAAAGCCUACACCAAUUCUCGUUCUCAUUCCCCUAGCUCAACCCACACUCAUUCUCAUCUCCCGGUGCAAGGGGAUUCGAACCCACGACCUCUCAGACCAAUAUAAGUAAUAGCUACCGUUAAACCACAUGUGUGCUUCUAUCUACAUCUACGAUAGUAAAAACAUCUACUACAUCGUAGCACUAAGAUUCCUAAAUUAUAUUUUUUGGAUGGAGGAAAUAGUAGAUAAGGCAAGCGAGUAUGAUGGUGCGUGCCUGAUGACUGACGAUGUACGAGAGAAUUUCUUUCGGUAGUUGUGGGAUGUGCUCUCGAACACCAAGACCAUGCAGAUCAUUGCAUAUAUAGAAGUCUGUAUGGUACUGAUGGUUGCAAUGUAGUGGUGAAAUAACUAAAUUAAAAUAACAAAAUUUAUGACCAGGAUCACAAAUGGAUUAUGAAAUAUUUUCACAUAACAGUAUAGCACACAUUAUAUAUAUAAGUUACCAUGAUAUUAUAUGUUCUUGUUGCAACACACAGUCAGGCCCGACCCUGAGUGUAGGCAGGGUAUUGUGAGGGACAGAUAUCCCUCGGGUCCACCAGAAGGAUAAAAGACCUCACGAAAGGCCCGUGGCCCAAUAAUUCGCGAGAUCAUCCCUUCGUGGGCCUGGGAAAGAACGCCUAGUGAACUGGAUCGACACAAGAUCAAAUCGACGCAAGCCCAGAUGGCCCGACGAAUUCGAGCAGUGAUCACAACAGUGACCCGACCUUCCCGCGCAGAAGCCCCGUACAUCGGAACCGAGCGAGGAUGGGUCGGCUGAAUUAUAGGAAGAUAGACUCAGUCAGUUCACUAUUACUUAGGCACACAUUGUUAUCAUAUCCACAUGUAAUGCCCCACGACCGAGUAUAUAAGGCAUAGGGGGCACCCCUUCAAAGACAUCUACCUCAUUACUUAGCCAUCCACCCGGCUCUCUACGUCUCCAACACUAGAGAACCUCCUUGUAACCCACCACAUAAAGUACUCACGCCAGGACGUAGGGUGUUACGCAUCUCAAAGCGGCCCGAACCUGUACACAACUGUCCACUGCUUCUCGUGCAUCCAGCACGAACCAUUGAGCUACAGUCGGUAACACCGUCCUACUCCAAGAAGCACCUUGAGGGGCAACCCCGGGUGCGCGGUCGGACCCAAAACACCGACAGCUGGCGCGCCAGGUAGGGGGGGUGUCAUCAAUCCAAGCUAGCUCAAUGACCGUCACCUUCCAGCACAAGAUCAUCCUCCGUCCUGGGUCCGUGUACUGCUUUGGAACUAUCUCGUCUGUAGCGGAUGAGGAGGGAACUCUGCAUCACAUCGUGGAUCUACCGGAGAAAAAGUCUUCCUCAAAGAUCUCCGAGAAAAUCGGAGCAAAGCAGGGAAAAGCGCAACCUCCAGCGCUCCGAGAAAAGAUCACAUUAAGCAAGCUAGGAGUCGAGGGUCCGUCUACCCGGAGAACUCCGCUGUCCACCUCUCCGACGGAAAAAUGAACACGGAUCACAAGGAGGAAAGAAGCGAAUGAGGCCAAGGGUCGUCAAGCAGCUCUUUCUGUGCCUCCGUCCUCAAAGGAGGACAGAAAGAAGAUCAUUGCGGCAGCUGCUCCAUUCUACCCCGACGUCCUCUUCAUCGGGGGAAGAGUGGAAUCGAAUCUUGUCUCCGACGAUGAACCAACUGCACCAGGAGAAGAACCUCUUCAUCGGGAGUCUUGCUGGUGGAGGAACCGACGCCGAAAUAUUCGGCGACAUCACGAGGCCGGAGAACGGGAUCCGGCGCAGCCCGUAUCGCGAGACGAGGUCUCAGAAGUGGGGGAAACUUCGGAAGAACGGGUCCUCAGAGAAAGAAGGAACUCUCGACGACGUGACCGUCGGCAGGCUUAAGAAUAGGACGAGCAGGAAACGAGGCAACGUCGGGAAAAUCCACUCUUCGGACCCAUCCUGAACCCCGACUUCGCCCGAGCCAUGAACACGCCGUGUGAAGUCGGUGGAGUGUUGGCUCGGAUAGCUAAAGGCCUCCCCCGGACUCUCGACGCCGAGGGCUAUCGACGGCUGUUCACUCAAGCAGCCAACCACCUUCUAGCCCUCGCCCAUCCACCGAACGAUCUACGACACACCAUCAACAGACGGCGGGACGCACGGAGCUCCAUCAACGCUUCGCGUGAACGACGACACGAGAACGAGAUUCGUUGCCGGGAAGAGUACGACCGGGAUCAUGGCAUCCCAGCACGGAGUCAGGCCACCAGGAUCGAGUCGGCCAUGGCUUCAACUGAUGGCACCACCCGGGGACGAUCGAGGCACCACGACAACCACUCCCCUCCCCGAGAAAGACAUCAUCAUCGACGACAAGAAGACAGUUGUGGAGUAUCGGCGCUUACUCCACGCCUCAGGGCCAUUCAAUGGCCCCCUAACUUCAAGGUCUCCAACAUCGACAAAUAUGAACCUAAGCAGGAUCCGGGAGGCUGGCUGGCCGUCUACACCACUGCUGCCCGAGCCGCUGGGGCAACCGAGGACGUGAUGACCGCGUACUUGCCUAUCGUCCUUGGGCAAGACACGCUGCAAUGGCUGCGACACCUACCCCGACACUGCAUCGACGACUGGAGCGACUUCAGUCGGCGCUUCACCGCCAACUUCCAAUCCCUCUCUGACAAACCAGCGCAACCAUGGGACCUCAAAUCCAUCAAACGCAGGGGGGACAAAACUCUCUGGUCAUACCUCAAAAGAUUCCAGACCAUGAGAAAUCGUAUCCCUAAGGUCGCGGAAGCAGCAGUGAUCGAGGACUUAUACCGGGGAUCCAAUGACUCGGCCUUCGUCUGAGCCAUACUACAAAAGGCGCCGACCACUUCGGAGUAGCUAUUCCAGGAAGCCGACCUCUACAUCACCACCGAUGAACAAGCUCUAGACCUCAACGGAGGAGCAAAGCCUGCAUCGACAGCACCGCGACGCGACACGAACCAGCAACCCGACAAACGCUGGGAGAAGAGGCCUCGUGAAGAGGUCCACGCCGCUGGACCACCCGCCUCUCGCGCCUGAGGAGGACCUCGCGGAGGCGAACGCACGCUGGACGACAUCCUCGAUGCCCAGUGCCCGUACCACAAAGACAUGCGCCACACCCUCUGGAACUGUAGAGACUUCAAGCAUUCCGUGGGGAACGGCCGACCCUUCCAACCUCUACCUCCUCCCCCGCCGAGAGGAAGACCAGGAGAACCGCGACAACCCCAGCAGCAGGAGGAGGGAGGAGGUGGAGCCUUCCCGCGCGUUGACAGAGAAGUCAACGUCAUCUUCGGCGGACACGGGUCACAAGAAAGCAAGAGACAACAAAAGCUCAACGAUCGUCAGAUACUGGUGGUGGCUACCGGUCCUCCCGCCCCGUACCGAUGGUCUGAGCACUCGAUCACCUUCACCCGGGCAGAUCAGUGGCUCAACUUCGACCACCCAGGCAAGUACCCGCUCCUCGUCGAUCCGGUGAUCCGAGAGAGCAGGGUAAAGAAGGUAUUAGUGGACGGGGGAAGCAGCAUCAACGUCACCUUCCCCCGGACGCUCCAAGGCUUGGGAGUUCCCCUCAAAGAGCUCCACGAGUCGAACACACCCUUCUUCGGCAUCGUGUCGACUGAAGGAGAAUAUCCGCUGGGCCACAUCUACAUGUCGGUCACCUUCGGAACUCCGGAAAACUACAGGACCGAGUUCCUGAGGUUCGAGGUGGCAAACUUCAACUGCGGGUACAACGCCAUCAUCGGGAGGCCUAGAUUGGCGAAGUUCAUGGCUAUUCCACAUUAUACAUACAUGAUAUUGAAGAUGUCAGGAACACAAGGGAUCAUAACUGUGCGCGCUGACUUCCAAGGCGCCGCAGAAUGUUUUCGAGUGGCCAUUCAGGCGGCCAUCACCACCAAACCAUCGGCGACUUCUUCCGCGCAGGCGAACUCAAAACCAGAGGAAGACCUCGCGGUACCCGCAAAUGAAGCUCAAGCCGUGAUCUCUAUACAGUCGACUGAAGAAACCAAGAGAAUCAAUCUUGGGUUCGCUGACGAGCGCAAGACUGCUAUCAUCAGUUUCAGCCUGGAUGACAAAUAGGAAGGCGCGCUCGUCCAGUUUUUGCAAGACAACCGAGACGUAUUCGCGUGGCAACCUGCGGAUAUGUCGGGAGCCCUGAGAGAACUGGCCGAGCACAAAUUGAAGGUCUACCCUAGGCAAGGCCGAUCAGACAAAAAUUACGUCGCUUCACGCCCGACAAGAGAGAAGCCAUCCAUGCUGAGCUGUCUCGCUUGGUCGCGGUCGGAUUCAUUAGAGAGGUGUUACAUCCUGAGUGGUUAGCUAAUCCCGUUCUUGUACUCAAAAAGAAUAAAGUGGAUUGGCGCAUGUGCGUCGACUAUACGGAUCUCAACAAACACGGUCCGAAGGAUCCCUUCGGACUUCCUAGAAUAGACCAGGUGGUGGAUGAAAGGGAAUUAGGCUUACACCUUUUUCCUAAUUGAUUUUGGUGGUUGAAUUGCCCAACACAAAUUAUUGGACUAACUAGUUUGCUCUAGUCUUUUACAGGUGCCAAAGGUUCACAAUAAGCCAAUAAAAAGACCAAGAAUGGGUUCAAACAAAGAGAGCAAAAGACAACCCAAAGGCACCCAGGUCUGGCGCACCGGACUAUCCGAUGUGCCACCGGACAGUGUCCGGUGCACCAGAGCACUCGAGCUGAACUUGCCACCUUCGAGAAAAUCAGAGGGCGCUCCGCUAUAAUUCACCGGACUGUACGGUGAAGCACCGGACAGUGUCUGGUGCCACACCGGACUGUCCGGUGUGCCAGCGGAGCAACGACUACUUCGCACGCAACGGUCGACUGCAACGCAUUUAAUGCGCGCCUGCGCGCGCAGAGGACAGAGCACGCGUGGUUGGCGCACCGGACAGUCUACAGGACCUGUCCGGUGCACCACCGGACAGCCCAGAGGCCCCACAAGUCAGAGCUCCAACGGUUGAACCCCAACGGCUCGCUGACGUGGCUGGCGCACAGGACAGUGUCCGGUGGCGCACCGGACUGUCCGGUGCGCCAUGCGACUGCAGCUUUCCAACGGCCAUCUUUUGGUGGUUGGGGCUAUAAAUACCCCAACCACCCCACAUUCAAUGGCAUCCAAGUUUUCCACCUUCAACACAUUACAAGAGCUAUAGCAUUCAAUUCAAGACACUCCAAAGAGAUCAAAUCCUCUCCCAAGUCCAAAGACAACUCAAAUCAAUAGUGGCUAGUGAGAGAGUGAUAUUUGUGUUCAUUUGAGCUCUUGCGCUUGGAUUGCUUCUUUCUUCUCAUUCUUCUUGUGAUCAUACUCAAUUGUAAUCGAGGCAAGAGACACCAAUUGUGUGGUGGUCCUUGCGGGAACUUCGUGUUCCGAUUGAUUGAGAAGAGAAGCUCACUCGGUCUAAGUGACCGUUUGAGAGAGGGAAAGGGUUGAAAGAGACCCGGUCUUCGUGACCACCUCAACGGGGAGUAGGUUUGCAAGAACCGAACCUCGGUAAAACAAAACACCGUGUCUCGCUCUUUAUUUGCUCACGAUUUGUUUUGCACCCUCUCUCUCGGGCUCGUUUAUAUUUCUAACGCUAACCCGGCUUGUAGUUGUGCUUAAGUUUAUAAAUUUCAGAUUCGCCCUAUUCACCCAACCCUCUAGACGACUUUCAAUUGGUAUCGGAGCUCGGUGCUUCAUUAGAGCUUAACCGCUCGAAGUGAUGUCGGGAGAUCACGCCAAGAAGAUGGGGAUCGGUCGUGAGAAGUCCGCUACAAGCCACAGGAAGGCUCCAUCCGGGGAGUCCGCCAACAAGGUGAAGGGAUCCCCUUCACACAACAAGUCGCGUCGGAGCGGUGACAAGAAAAAGAAGAUGAGGAAGGUGGUCUAUUGUGAGACCGACUCUUCGUCGGCAUCCACCUCCGGCUCCGACACGCUGUCCGUCACUUCUAAGCGCCAUGAGCGCAAUAAGUUUAGUAAGAUCCCCUUACGCUAUCCUUGUAUUCCUAAGCAUACUCCAUUACUUUCCAUCCCAUUAGGCAAACCACCGACGUUCGACGGUGAAGAUUAUUCUAGGUGGAGUGAUAUGAUGAGAUAUCACCUAACCUCACUCCACAAAAGUAUAUGGGAUGUUGUUGAGUUUGGUGUACAUGUACCAUCCAUAGGGGAUGAAGAUUAUGAUGAGGACGAGGUGGCCCAAAUCGUGCACUUCAACUCCCAAGCCACCACUAUACUCCUCACCUCUCUAAGUCGAGAGGAGUAUAACAAGGUGCAAGGAUUGAAGAGUGCCAAGGAGAUUUGGGAUGUACUCAAGACCGCGCACGAAGGAGACGAGGUGACCAAGAUCACCAAGCGGGAGACGAUCGAGGGGGAACUCGGUCGCUUUCAACUUAGCCAAGGGGAAGAGCCACAAGAGAUGUACAAUCGGCUCAAGACCUUGGUGAACCAAGUGCGCAACCUCGGGAGCACCAAAUGGGAAGACCAUGAGAUGGUCAAGGUGAUUCUAAGAUCCCUCGUUUUCCUUAACCCUACGCAAGCUCAAUUAAUUCGAAGAAAUCCUAGAUAUACACUAAUGUCUCCCGAGGAAGUAAUAGGUAAUUUUGUGAGCUUUGAGUUGAUGAUCAAAGGCUCAAAGAAAAUCAUCGAGCUAGAUGGCCCCUCCACGCCCGAAGCACAACCGGUCGCAUUCAAGGCGACGGAGGAGAAGAAAGAGGAGUCUACAUCAAGUAGACAACCCAUUGAUGCCUCUAAGCUCGACAAUGAGAAGAUGGCGCUCAUCAUCAAGAGCUUCCGCCAAAUCCUCAAGCAAAGGAAGGGGAAAGAUUACAAGCCCCGUUCCAAGAAGGUGUGCUACAAAUGUGGUAAGCCCGGUCAUUUCAUUGCUAAAUGUCCGUUAUCUAGUGAUAGUGAUAGGGGCGACGACAAAAAGGGCAAGAGGAGAGAAAAGAGGAGGCACUACAAGAAGAAAGGCGGCGAUGCACAUGUGUGCCGUGAGUGGGACUCCGACGAGAGCUCCUCCGACUCCUCAUCCGACGAAGACGCCGCCAACAUCGCCAUGACCAAGGGACUCCUCUUCCCCAAUGUCGGCCACAAGUGCCUUAUGGCAAAGGACAGCAAAAGGAAGAAGGUAAAAUCAAAAUCCUCCACUAAAUAUGCAACCUCUAGUGAUGAGGAUAAUUGUAGUGAUGAUGAAGAUAACUUAUGUACCCUUUUUGCCAACCUAAACAUGCAACAAAAAGAAAAGUUGAAUGAAUUAAUUAGUGCAAUUCAUGAGAAGGAUGAACUCUUGGACACCCAAGAGGACUUCCUAAUUAAGGAAAAUAAGAAGCAUGUUAAGGUUAAAAAUGCUUAUGCUCUAGAAGUAGAAAAAUGUGAAAAAUUAUCUAGUGAGCUAAGCACUUUUCAUGAUACUAUUGCCAACCUUAAAAAUGAAAAUGCUAAACUAAUUGCUAAGAUUGAUUCUAAUAUUUGUAAUGUUCCAAAUCCCAAUCUUAGAGAUGAUAAUGUUAACUUACUUGCUAAGAUUGAAGAUUUGAAUGUCUCUCUUGCUAGCCUUAGAAAUGAUAAUGAAAAAUUAAUUGCUAAGGCUAAAGAAUUAGAUGUUUGCAAUGUUACAAUUUCCGAUCUUAGAGAUAACAAUGAUAUUUUGCGUGCUAAGAUUGUUGAACUUAAUGCUUGCAAACCCUCCACAUCUACCAUUGAGCAUGUCACUAUUUGCACUAGAUGUAGAGAUGUUAACAUUGAUACUAUUCAUGAUCAUAUGGCUUUAAUUAAACAACAAAAUGAUCAUAUAGCAAAAUUAGAUGCAAAAAUUGCCGAGCAUGACUUAGAAAAUGAAAAAAAAUUAAAUUUGCUAGAAGCAUGCUCUAUAGUGGGAGACGCCCGGGCAUCAAGGAUGGCAUUGGCUUCCAAAGGGGAGACAAUGUCAAACUUAAUGCCCCUCCUAAAAGAUUGUCAAACUUUGUUAAGGGCAAGGCUCCCAUGCCUCAGGAUAACGAGGGUUACAUUUUGUACCCUGCCGGUUAUCCCGAGAGCAAAAUUAGGAGAAUUCAUUCUAGGAAGUCUCACUCUGGCCCUAAUCAUGCUUUUAUGUAUAAGGGUAAGACAUCUAGUUCUAGGCAAUCAACCCGUGCUAAAUUGCCUAAGAAGAAAACUCCUAGUGCAUCAAAUGAUUCCAACAUUUCAUUUAAAACUUUUGAUGCAUCUUAUGUUUUGACUAACAAAUCCGGCAAGGAAGUGGCCAAGUUUGUUGGGGGCAAACACAUGGGAUCGAAGACUUGUGUUUGGGUACCCAAAGUUCUUGUAUCUAAUGCCAAAGGACCCAAAACUGUUUGGGUACCUAAAACCAAGAACUAAACUUGUUUUGUAGGUUUAUGCAUCCGGGGGAUCAAGUUGGAUCAUCGAUAGCGGGUGCACAAACCACAUGACAGGGGAGAAGAAGAUGUUCUCCUCCUACGAGAAAAACCAAGAUCCCCAGUGAGCUAUCACAUUCGGGGAUGGAAAUCAAGGUUUGGUCAAAGGAUUGGGUAAAACUGCUAUAUCACCCGACCAUUCCAUUUCCAAUGUUUUUCUUGUAGAUUCUUUAGAUUACAACUUGCUUUCAGUUUCGCAAUUAUGUAAAAUGGGCUACAACUGUCUUUUUAUAGAUACAGGUGUCACUGUCUUUAGAAGAAGUGAUGAUUCAAUAGCAUUUAAGGGAGUGUUAGAGGGACAACUAUACUUAGUAGAUUUUGAUAGAGCUGAACUCGACACUUGCUUAAUUGCUAAGACUAACAUGGGCUGGCUCUGGCAUCGCCGACUAGCACAUGUUGGAAUGAAGAAUCUUCACAAACUUCUAAAGGGAGAACACAUUUUGGGACUAACAAAUGUUCAUUUUGAGAAAGACAGGGUUUGUGGCGCAUGUCAGGCAGGGAAGCAAGUUGGUGUUCAUCAUCCACACAAGAACAUCAUGACGACUGACAGGCCACUCGAGCUCCUACACAUGGACCUAUUCGGCCUGAUUGCUUACAUAAGCAUCGGCGGGAGUAAGUAGUGUCUAGUUAUUGUGGAUGACUAUUCUCGCUUCACUUGGGUGUUCUUUUUGCAGGAAAAAUCUCAUACCCAAGAGACCUUAAAGGGAUUCUUGAGACGGGCUCAAAAUGAGUUCGGCUUAAGGAUCAAAAAGAUUAGAAGCGACAACGAGACGAAGUUCAAAAACUCACAAAUCGGAGGCUUUCUUGAGGAGGAGGGCAUCAAGCAUGAGUUCUCCUCUCCCUACACGCCACAACAAAAUGGUGUAGUGGAGAGGAAGAAUCGAACUCUAUUGGACAUGGCAAGAACCAUGCUUGAUGAGUACAAAACUUCGGAUCGGUUUUGGGCCGAGGCGGUCAACACCGCUUGCUACACCAUCAACCGGUUGUAUCUACACCGAAUCCUCAAGAAGACAUCAUACGAACUCCUAACCGGUAAAAAGCCCAAUGUUUCAUAUUUUAGAGUCUUUGGUAGCAAAUGCUUUAUUCUUGUUAAAAGAGGUAGAAAAUCUAAAUUUGCUCCUAAGGCUGUAGAAGGCUUUUUACUAGGAUAUGAUUCAAACACAAGGGCAUAUAGAGUCUUUAACAAGUCCUCCAGACUAGUUGAAGUUUCUUGUGACGUUGUGUUUGAUGAGACUAACGGCUCUCAAUUAGAGCAAGUUGAUCUUGAUGAAAUAGGUGAUGAAGAGGCUCCGUGCGUCGCGCUAAGGAACAUGUCCAUUGGGGAUGUGUAUCCUAAGGAAUCCAAAGAGCCACCACAAGCACAAGAUCAACCAUCUUCCUCCACACAAGCAUCUCCACCAACUCAAGAUGAGGAUAAAGCUCAAAAUGAUGAAGGAGAAAAUCAAGAAGUUGAGCCACCUCAAGAGGAGAGCAAUGAUCAAGGGGGAGAUGCCCAUGAUCAAGACGAGGAAGAUGAACAAGUUCUAAGGCCGCCACACCCAAGAGUCCACCAAGCAAUUCAACGAGAUCACCCCAUGAACACUAUCCUCGGCGAUAUUCAAAAGGGGGUAACUACUCGAUCUCGUGUUGCUCAUUUUUGUGAACAUUACUCGUUUGUUUCCUCUAUUGAGCCACACAGGGUAGAGGAAGCACUACAAGAUUCGGAUUGGGUGGUGGUAAUGCAAGAGGAGCUCAACAACUUCACUAAGAAUGAGGUAUGGCAUUUAGUUCCACGUCCUAACCAAAAUGUUGUAGGAACCAAGUGGGUCUUCCGCAACAAACAAGACGAGCAUGGUGUGGUGACAAGGAACAAUGUCCGACUUGUGGCCAAGGGAUAUUCACAAGUCGAAGGUUUGGAUUUCGGUGAAACCUAUGCACCCGUAGCUAGGCUUGAGUCAAUUCGCAUAUUACUUGCCUAUGCUACUUACCAUGGCUUUAAGCUUUAUCAAAUGGACGUGAAAAGUGCCUUCCUCAAUGGACCAAUCAAGGAAGAGGUCUAUGUUGAGCAACCUCCCGGCUUUGAAGAUAGUGAGUACCCUAAUCACGUAUACAAACUCUCUAAGGCGCUUUAUGGGCUCAAGCAAGCCCCAAGAGCAUGGUAUGAAUGCCUAAGAGAUUUUCUUAUCACUAAUGGCUUCAAAGUCGGAAAGGCCGAUCCUACUCUAUCCACUAAAACUCUUGACAAUGAUUUGUUUGUAUGCCAAAUUUAUGUAGAUGAUAUUAUAUUUGGGUCUACCAACGAAUCUACAUGUGAGGAAUUUAGUAGGAUCAUGACACAGAAAUUCGAGAUGUCGAUGAUGGGGGAGUUGAAGUACUUCUUAGGCUUUCAAGUGAAGCAACUCCAAGAGGGCACCUUCAUUAGCCAAACGAAAUAUAUUCAAGACAUUCUAAACAAGUUUGGGAUGAAGGAUGCUAAACCCAUCAAGACACCCAUGGGAACUAACGGGCAUCUCGACCUCGACACGGGAGGUAAAUCCGUCGAUCAAAAGGUAUACCAGUCGAUGAUAGGUUCUUUACUAUGUUUAUGUGCAUCUCGACCGGAUAUUAUGCUUUCCGUAUGCAUGUGUGCAAGAUUCCAAGCCGACCCUAAGGAAGCUCACCUUACGGCCGUAAAACGAAUCUUGAGAUAUUUAGUUCAUACUCCUAAGUUUGGGCUUUGGUACCCUCGGAGAUCCACAUUUGAUUUAAUUGGUUAUUCGGAUACCGAUUGGGCGGGGUGUAAAAUCAAUAGAAAGAGCACAUCGGGGACUUGCCAGUUCUUGGGAAGGUCCUUGGUGUCUUGGGCUUCAAAGAAGCAGAAUUCCGUAGCUCUUUCUACCGUCGAAGCCGAGUAUAUUGCCGCAGGACAUUGUUGCGCGCAACUACUUUGGAUGAGGCAAACCCUUAGGGACUAUGGUUACAAUUUAACCAAAGUUCCUCUUCUAUGUGAUAAUGAGAGUGCAAUCCGCAUGGCGGAUAAUCCCGUUGAGCAUAGCCGCACUAAACACAUAGCCAUUCGGUAUCAUUUUCUAAGGGAUCACCAACAAAAGGGAGAUAUCGAGAUUGCAUAUAUUAACACUAAAGAACAAUUAGCCGAUAUCUUUACCAAGCCACUAGAUGAACAAACUUUUAACAAACUUAGGCAUGAGCUAAAUAUUCUUGAUUCUAGGAAUUUCUUUUGAUGGUUUGCACACAUAGCUCAUUAAUAUACCUUUGAUCAUGUCUCUUUUAUAUGCUAUGACUAAUGUGUUUUCAAGUGAAUUUCAAACCAAGUCAUAGAUUGAAAGGGAUUUGGAGUCUUCGGCGAAGACAAAGGCUUCCACUCCACUUCAUCGAAAUGACUCAUUCUUCGCCGUCGCUCUGAGCAACUCUCCGUCUUUGGUAUAAACUUCACUCAUAUUUUUGUUUGCCAAAGGGGGAGAAAGUAAUAGUUAUAAGGGCUUAUAUUUCACUCUAGUAUCCGUUUUUGGCGAUUUAUGCCAAAGGGGGAGAAAGUAUUAGCCCAAAGCAAAAGGAUCGCACCACCACCGAUUUUUUAAAAAAAAUUGUGUUCAAAUGAUGAAGUUUUUCAACUUGGUAUCUUAUUUUUGAUUUGGAACACCCUCUUCAAAAACUAAUGUCUAAAACCCUCUUGAACACUAAGAGGAGGAUUUUAUUGAGGGGGAGUUUUGUUUAGUCAAAGGAAAAGCAUUUGAAACAGGGGGAGAAAAUGUUAAAUCUUGAAAAUGCUUCUCAAAAUCUUACUCAUUUACCUUUGAAUAUUUGCAAAAGGACUUUGAAAAGAAUUUACAAAAGGAUUUGCAAAAACAAAACAAGUGGUGUAAGCGUGGUCCAAAAUAUAAAGAAACAAUCCAUGCAUAUCCUAUAAGAAUUUAUAUUGGCUCAAUUCUAAGUAACCUUUGCACUUACAAUUAUGCAAAGUAGUUCAAUUAUGCACUUCUAUAUUUGCUUUGGUUUGUGUUGGCAUCAAUCACCAAAAAGGGGGAGAUUGAAAGGGAAUUAGGCUUACACCUUUUUCCUAAUUGAUUUUGGUGGUUGAAUUGCCCAACACAAAUAAUUGGACUAACUAGUUUGCUCUAGUCUAUAAGUUUUACAGGUGCCAAAUGUUCACAAUAAGCCAAUAAAAAGACCAAGAAUGGGUUCAAACAAAGAGAGCAAAAGACAACCCAAAGGCACCCUAGUCUGGCGCACCGGACUGUCCGGUGUGCCACCGGACAGUGUCCGGUGCACCAGGGCACUCGAAGCUGAACUUGCCACCUUCAGGAAAAUCAGAGGGCGCUCCGCUAUAAUUCACCGGACUGUCCAGUGAAGCACCGGACAGUGUCUGGUGCCACACCGGACUGUCCGUUGUGCCAGCGGAGCAACGGCUACUUCGCGCGCAACGGUCGACUGCAACGCAUUUAAUACGCGCCUGCGCGCGUAGAGGACAGAGCACGCGUGGUUGGCGCACCACAGUUUACAGGACCUGUCCGGUGCACCACCGGACAGCCCAGAGGCCCCACAAGUCAGAGCUCCAACGGUCGAACCCCAACGGCUCGCUGACGUGGCUGGCGCACCGGACUGUCCGGUGCGCCAUGCGACUGCAGCUUUCCAACGACCAUCUUUUGGUGGUUGGGGCUAUAAAUACCCCAACCACCCCACAUUCAAUGGCAUCCAAGUUUUCCACAUUCAACACAUUACAAGAGCUAUAGCAUUCAAUUCAAGACACUCCAAAGAGAUCAAAUCCUCUCCCAAGUCCAAAGACAACUCAAAUCAAUAGUGGCUACUGAGAGAGUGAUAUUUGUGUUCAUUUGAGCUCUUGCGCUUGGAUUGCUUCUUUCUUCUCAUUCUUCUUGUGAUCACACUCAAUUGUAAUCAAGGCAAGAGACACCAAUUGUGUGGUGGUCCUUGCGGGAACUUCGUGUUCCGAUUGAUUGAGAAGAGAAGCUCACUCGGUCUAAGUGACCGUUUGAGAGAGGGAAAGGGUUGAAAGAGACCCGGUCUUCGUGACCACCUCAACGGGGAGUAGGUUUGCAAGAACCGAACCUCGGUAAAACAAAUCACCGUGCCUCGCUCUUUAUUUGCUCACGAUUUGUUUUGCGCCCUCUCUCUUGGACUCGUUUAUAUUUCUAACGCUAACCCGGCUUGUAGUUGUGCUUAAGUUUAUAAAUUUCAGAUUCGCCCUAUUCACCCCCCCUCUAGGCGACUUUUAGUGGACUCAACCACCGGAUGUUCUGUGUUGUCUUUCUUGGAUUGCUACUCUGGGUAUCAUCAGAUUAGCUUGGCAAAAAAAGACAAGGAAAAAAUAACAUUCAUCACCCCGUUCGGAGCCUUCUGCUAUACCUCCAUGUCGUUCGGCCUCAAAAACGUUGGAGCGACUUAUCAGAGAGCUAUUCAGACAUGCUUAGCCGACCAUUGGGGCAAGCGUGUGGAUGAUGCGGUGAUCAAGACAGAGGAUUCAGAAAAUUUCAUUGAAGAUUUACAGCUGGUCUUCAACAAUCUACGGCGAUACCGAUGGAAGCUUAAUCCCGAAAAAUGUGUCUUCGGAGUACCGGCAGGAAAGUUGCUCGGGUUCAUUGUCAGCCAUCGGGGAAUUGAGGCCAAUCCAGAAAAGAUCGAGGCUAUCAUGAGAAUGGAAGCACCACGAUCACAGAAGAAAGUACAAAGACUUACCGGAUGUAUGGCAGCUCUAAGCAAAUUCAUAUCAAGGUUGUGAGAAAAAGGCUUACUGUUCUAUAAGUUGCUCAAGAAGGUAGACAAAUUCCAGUGGACUUCAGAAGCACAUGAAGCUCUAGAUGCGCUGAAAAAAUUCUUAACAACACCACCAGUACUAAAACCGCCGCGCCGAGCCACGCCGACUCAACCGGCUGAAGAUCUGCUAUUAUACAUCUCUUGCACGACUCACGUGGUGAGCACCGCAUUGGUAGUCGAGCGAGCAGAAGAAGGACAUGCAUACCCAGUACAACAUCCUGUCUAUUUCAUUAGUGAAGUUCUGGGUCCCUCGAAGAAGAAAUACCCUCAAGUUCAGAAGCUAUUAUAUGCAGUACUUCUAACUGCACGCAAGCUCUGUCACUACUUCGACGACCACAAAGUCAUAGUAGUCAUUGGAUUUCCGAUAGGGGAUAUUCUCCACAAUAAAGAAGCCAUCAGAAGAAUAGCCAAGUGGGCCUGUGAACUGGGAUCUCAUGACAUUGAAUUUCGACCUCGCACUGCCAUCAAAACUCAAGCACUGGUUGACUUCGUAUCAGAGUGGAUCGAGCAACAGGUGCCAGAUAACCCGAAAACCGCAGAAGUAUGGCGAAUGUAUUUUGAUGGCUCAUUAAAGCUGCAGGGAGCAGGCGCAGGGAUCCUCUUUAUUGCACCUGGAGGUGAACAACUCAAAUACGCUCUUCAAUUGUUAUUCCCAGCAUCCAACAAUGUAACAGAAUACGAAGCUCUGAUUCAUGGACUAAACAUUACCAUAUCACUGGGCAUCAAGAGACUGAUGGUAUAUGGAGAUUCGCUGGUGGUCAUAAGUCAGAUAAACAAAGAAUGAGAUUGCUCGAAUGAUUCCAUGGGAAAAUACUGCACUGCUGUCCGGAAACUAGAAGACAAAUUUGAAGGUCUAGAAUUUCAUCAUGUGGAGAGAGACCGCAACGCGGCAGCUGAUACAUUGUCCAAGUUAGGAUCCAGUCGGACUCAGGUCCCACCUAGAGUUUUCGUCCAAGAAGUACUGCACCCGAGCAUUUCACUGGAUCGGGUAGAGGAAUGCAAUAUUCUGAGCCAACCAGAGCCAGAUGAUUGGAGGGAGCGGAUCAUCAGGUAUAUAAAGAAUGAGGAGGAACCAGAUGACAAAAAUGCAGUCGAACGCAUUGCGAGGCAGUCAUCUCAUUACACUCUCAUUGGGGAAACGCUAUACAGAAGAGGCGCGUCAGGAGUCCUCAUGAAAUGCAUUCUCUCAGCUAGUGGAAAACAACUUCUGGAUGAGGUCCAUGCUGGGCAAUGCGGGGUACACGCAGCAUCCAGGACCCUGGUUGGGAAGGUCUUUAGGUCGGGUUUCUACUGGCCAACAGCAAAGAGUGAUGCAGCCGAGUUAGUCUAGAGGUGCGAAGCCUGCCGGUACUUAUCAAAACAGCAACAUCUACCUAUGGUCUACCCAACGAAAUCUUUUCAUGAGCGGUAGAGUAGACUGAGCACCCACACAAUCUCGAUUUGACAAUUUCAGAAAUGGAAGGAUUUACCAAUGAGACCGUCUACAGCAGAGAGGCUACCAGGACACGACCUUUCGCACAAUGGAAAUGGUACUACUGUGUCCCUAAGGGCCCCGUCUUCCUUUUUAGAGAGAACUGAAUCAGAACAUCUUUCUCUAUGAAAAUGGGAGAGUAAAAAGGGAACCGAAAACAUUGAUGUGAGAGCAAUGAUGAAUCGAGCCGCAUCACAUCAACUAGAGAACUUAACAUACGAGUUUUCUAUCAAAACUAUUACCCAUCAAUCUCUAUCCUCGGGGAUAGAAUCCAUCUCACGGCGUACCUGAUAACUACGCUUAUAUACGUCAAUUCAUGGGAAGAUGCUUACAGGAACUUCCAACUACUCACUUUGAGCAGGCAUGUUACGAAGCUGGCUGAACUAAGCCCAAGUUCGGUAAGGCGUAAAGUAAGUGCGAACCCGAAGCGUGGGUAGAGUUGGAAAGAAGCGUAAAGCUGUGUUAGUUCGAUCGCAACAUAGAAACCGCUUUCAUGGUUGCCUCCUAGUGGUUUCGCCAACGAGAACGCAGGCUUAAAAACUUUAUGCUUUCUUUUAUCCAACAACGAUUCAGUAUAAGAAUACCAAGCCAAGCGCAGACGAUCCGGGGAAUUUCCAACUAUUUCUUUCUUGAGAAGUGCGGAGAACACCCCGGAGUAGAUGAACUCAUUGCAGAUACAUUGCAACUUUAUAUGGGACCGAUCUACUUAACACACUACAACACUACACUAUCUAUAUAUAGGUAUAUCAUAAGCGGUAACCUUCCUCAAAUGUUUUAUUAUCCUUAGGUGAACUUUUCUCUAUCUAUAUGGGCGUAGGCAGUCAUAGUGGGCCUGUGAAAGUCAACAAUAUGGAUGGCAUAAUAGGCAAUGGUUGCGUACUAGAUUGGUGGUCUUAUACUUAAAAGCAGUUUGCUCUGAUUCAAAGCAGGCGAAGUAGUUUCAGUGGUCUCAUACUUGUGGUAACUCUCUUCAUUUGUUGGUGCUCGGUGGUUGGCAAAAGCGCCUUCUGAAGAGUCGUACCCACGACCCAUCACCCUUUGGAAUAGAUCCUCAGGCCCAUCGCACGGCGAACUACCUAAAGCUUAGAGAGUUUGCAAGGAAAGGAGAUAGACUGACUAUCAGCGACUAGCUACAGGAAAGAGAUUCGGGUUGUUAGGCAAAGUUGGGAGAGAAGUAAGAAAUCGGUGAUAGAAGUAGUGCUCGAGAUAUAAGGAUAGGUCACAGGAAUAGGAAUAUGGAUAGCUCUCUCUCUAGUUUGAAGAAGGAUAGCUGGCUGGGAGAGUAGAACUAGUUAAAGCGCUGGCUGGUCAGAAGAAAGAACUUACUGUUGUACUGUAGUAUGGUAAUAAAAAACAUUGUAAAGGAAAAACUUAUCUUGUUC